GGGAAAAUACUUAAAAAAUUACACCAAAUAUAGAUCCAUAGAUAGAUAUGGACAACAUGAUAUAUCACAUAAGAAAAUCAUUAAAUAAUUAAGUCAUAGUGCAAUAUAACUAAAACAUCAUACGAAUGGAAAUACAUGAGCUUUAAAACAUAAAACAUAGAACUUAAACUGGCAUAGCAAAGUCUUCACAUAAUACUUAAAAGAAACAUGAAAAACACAUGAAAAUUAAGACCACUUAAUCACUUUCUUCCAUAUCUUUU
rnacentral:lncRNA from 1 species